UACGGAGGGUGGAAGCGUUAUCCGGAUUCACUGGGUUUAAAGGGUGCGUAGGUGGGCAGGUAAGUCAGUGGUGAAAUCCCCGAGCUUAACUUGGGAACUGCCAUUGAUACUAUUUGUCUUGAAUACUGUGGAGGUUAGCGGAAUAUGUCAUGUAGCGGUGAAAUGCUUAGAUAUGACAUAGAACAUCAAUUGCGAAGGCAGCUGGCUACACAAAUAUUGACACUGAUGCACGAAAGCGUGGGGAUCAAACAGG
rnacentral:rRNA from 1 species